UGCAGGAAGGGCCAGCCGGCCCCAGCAGUGUGCGCGAGCACGAGGUGGCUUUGGGUACUCGUCUCAGCCGUGGCUUCCUGUCUCCUGGACUUUUCCUCGCAGGGAGCGAGCGCAGGCCCGGGCAGAACGUCACCUCCUCGAGGGCCGCCGCCUUUCGCUUCGGCCUUCAAUGGCCGAGGAUUUCCUCCGCGCGGGGGCGCACUCUGCCGGUUGGCAGCUCCUCCUACCAUUGUGGCUAAAAGGGCGCCCUCCUGUGGCCAGUCUGGGAAGGAGCCUCUUGGACUACUGGUCCAGCUCGGGGCUGGACUCGCGUUCGGAGCCUCUGGAGACCGAAGUUGCCGAGCCUCGGCUGCCUUUGCGCGACAGUGCCGGGCCAGAGAGCCUUCCGUCCUCCGCGCAGAGGCUGGCCCGGGCGGCACCGAUCACUUCAGCUCUCUCGGCCCCUUGGGCAGAACUUCCUACUUAGUCACAGGCCCGGUGCCCUCUGGAGCGGGUCCUGAUGCUGCCGAAAUCAGAACUACAUUAUUCUAUUGGACUUCUCCGUCCUGCAUCCCCAACUAGAGCCUCAGCUCCUCCAGCGGAGGGACCCCUCUCGUUUGUAUCUUCCAGGACCUUACACCGAGGAGGCCCACCAGCCAGCUGGUUCCACCCACCCACAUGCCCGCCAAGCCCAUCCCACCCCCCCAAUCCCAGAGAAUUUCAGUUUCCUUUCCUGCCGGUCUUACACUGUGUCCAUGUCCCUGCACUGCUCAGGACAAACCCACGGGUCCCUAUGGUCCCCAGAAACAAGUCCAGGUUCCUUUGCUUGGUAUCUGAAGCCUUCUACAAAGUGGCUCCCUACUGUGGACUGCAGAACAUUAGAGCUGAAGGGCUGAAGAUAGCAGCCGAAUCCUAUCCACAUCGUGGCAUCUCAGCUAAAGCACCUUCAGCGGGCAUCCAGCUCUCCAGGGAUGGAGAGCUUUCUACUCCUGGCCAAUUAAAAUGGAAAUCUACCUCCAUGAAAGUCACUACUCUCUGAUAAAGCAAAGCAAGACUCGACCCCUUCCUAGUGACAGCCCUUCAGAGAGUGGAAACCAGUUUGCCACAUCCCUUGGUCUUUCUACUUCUGACCAACCCCCCCAGUUCCUGCAACCAAUCCUGGUCUGGCCCAGUUUUAAGUUCCUUCUUUCCCUCCCACCCACCACCAGUCACCCUCUAGAUAAGUUCCAAGAUGUCAAGGACCUGGCUAAAAUGAGGCCCCCAGAGCUGAGCACGGUACUUUGUGUAAUACUUCAGCUACUGCCUGUUGAGGGCAGGAGGCUUUAUCAGGGUCCUCAACUUUUGAAAUAGGGGGCCAGUUCACUGUCCCUCAGACUGUUGGAGGGCCGGACCAUAAUAAAAACAAAAACUUUGUUUUGUGGGCCUUUAAAUAAAGAAAUUUCAUAGCCCUGAGUGAGGGGGAUAAUUGUCCUCAACUGCUGCAUCUGGCCCAUGGGCCGUAGUUUGAGGACCCUUGCCGGGUGAUCCCUCCUCAUUCAGAAUACUAUCUCUGCUCCUACAUCCUAAAUCAAAUUCGCUUCGUACCAAGGGAAAAGCCCACUGAGAGCUCCAAAGCAUUUCUCCUUCUGAAUUAUGUCUGUGUAUAUCCUGUACUUGUGCUGUUGUGUCCCAUGAAGAGGGCUUUAUAGUUAUUCCUAUUGAAUUUCAUCCUAAAAUAAUCAACCCUUUUACCUAUAGUUCUAGUCUGACAAGAUUUUCUUGGGUUCUAACUCAUUUAAUCUCUAAUUCUCCUUCCCAACUCCUGGCUAGCUUCACAUUUGAUAAGCAGACUGUCCAAAUAUCAGUGGGGGCUAAGGAAAGAGACCAAUGGCACUCUAGCAGAGACUUCUGUCCAGGUUGACCAAUUGAAAGUUGAACAUCAUCCUUACUUGCCUAUAAGUGCUGUGAGAACAGGCAUUGCAUUUUAUCUUCAUGCCUUUCCCAGUGCUGGGCAUAGGAUUCUGAACAUAGUAGAUAGUGCAUAUUUAUUUUUAAAAUGGAUGCACUGAAGGGGUCCUAGAAAACCAAUUUGAGCAUCUGGAGAAUUUGAUUUGCCUGUGAUUCUUUGAUAGGGAGAGAGAAAAUUGGGGAAUGAAAUAGGAGCGAUUUGGGAGUGGGUGUGGAAGUUAGCGAUUCAUGAGUUUCUCUAAAGAUGAGUUUAGGAAAGUAGGAUGGGAGACUGGAGGGUUUCCCUAAACCAUCCAUAAAAAAGGAAGGCGUUGGAAUAGGAAAGAAGGUAUAAGGGCCAUUUGGACAUCCAUGAGAAAGAAGGAGGCGGGAGACCUAAGGUUGAAUAAAUAAUUCACAGAGAUCUGGGGAUUCCUGGAUCAUCUGUGGGCUCAAAAGGAGGACUGACAGGAUAUAUGGUCAUCCAUGGGGAGGAGGGGUGGAGGUACUGGGAACAGUCAUGGGAAAAGGAGGAUAGGGAGAUUGAGAUAUUCAUGAGGAAGGGGGGAAGAAGAGGGAUAUAAAAGGGAGUGUGGGGCUUUCCUGGCCAUCCAUAGGAAAGAGGAAUAUUGAGGGCAGGGAAAGGGGGAAGGAGUAUAUUGAAAGAAGGGGGAGGGAUGAAUAUUAGGACUUUUAUUGGGGAAGGGGAUAUUGGAAGUGGAAGAAGAUUAGAGGGAAUGGAGAUUUCCCUGAAUGUUCAUGGAGAAAAAAAGUUGGGAUGUGGGAAGAGAAUGGGAUAUUCCUGGCCAUCUGUAGAACAGAAGACCAGGAGAGGAGGGGCUGGGGUCUUCUUUGGCCAUUCAUGAGGAAAGAGGUCUUGGGAAUAGGAAAGAAGGGUUUUGGGGAUAUCAGCAGUUCCCCCUA